rnacentral:rRNA from 1 species
GACGGAGGAUGCAAGCGUUAUCCGGAAUUAUUGGGCGUAAAGCGUCCGCAGGUGGCUGUUCAAGUCUGCUGUCAAAGCGCAGAGCUUAACUCUGUACAGGCGGUGGAAACUGAAGAGCUAGAGUAUGGUAGGGGUAGAGGGAAUUCCCGGUGUAGCGGUGAAAUGCGUAGAUAUCGGGAAGAACACCAGUGGCGUAAGCGCUCUACUGGGCCAUAACUGACACUGAGGGACGAAAGCUAGGGGAGCGAAAGGG